rnacentral:tRNA from 1 species
GCUUAUGUGGCGCAGCUGGUAGCGCAACUCAUUCGUAAUGAGUAGGUCGCCGGUUCGAAUCCGGCCAUGAGCU